UUUCUCCGGGAUGCACCAUUGCCAAAGUCGUGCAUGAAUAGGCCGGAAUACUCUGGAAUGUUUGCACGGAUUGUCACUUUAAUCGGAUGUUCAAGAAAGCAAUGUAUAACGUCUAUUACAUAAACAAGGAUUGCGAUUGGCUAGGACAGGAGUCUGGUUCCAUAACAAUGAUGUCAUCGUCGGGGGAUUUCCAUCCAUACCAAGGGAAAGAACUCGUGUUUUCCAGAAAAAUUGAGAUGGCUGUAAUUCACGACAGAUUCGAAUAAUUGCCUAUUGGUUUAUAGCUAUCAACACUUAUCUAACUGGACUAUUUAUAUCAGCAAUAAUGCCACCCAAGUUGAACAUUUUGUUAUUAUUAGGACACCAGGCAAUUAAAAAUCAGGUUUAUAGCUAUCAACACUUAUCUAACUGAACUAUUUAUAUCAGCAAUAAUGCCACCCAAGUUGAACAGAUUUUGUUAAUAUUAGGACACCAGGCAAUUAAAAAUCAGUCAACCGAGCCAAACCCAUCAUCCAAAAUUUAGCUCUUUUUUCUAGAUGGUCUUGUAUAGCCGGUAUUAUAGAGGGAUUCGCAAGUAUAACAGUUGUACACUUUGUGUGGUUACAAGUGCUACCGAUGUCAUAGUGUGGCGUUUUGAUCGUGUAAAGUAUAGUAUCAUUACCAGAACUUUACCUUUACUUUAAUCAACAAUAUGGCAUUUCCUGAAAAUUAUUCCGGUUGCCAGGAGAGCCAGAUGCCCACCGGAAACAACUGUCAGAUGGUAAUUAACCCAAUACAAGUUCGAUCAUUUUCUGUUACGAUCCGUGAGUUUUCUGUUAGUCGCCGUGUGGAAUUAGAACAUUCAAGAAUUCGGAAUACAUCGUUUGUAUCUGUGGCAAGAAUAAUCCGACGAACACAACAAUUGUGAAUGUGGUAAAUUGGUUCUGUUGUAUGUUAAAUAGGCGUUAAACCCUAUUAUUAUGGUGAAUUGUGAACUAAAUAUGUAUUCUGAUGAUUGAAUCAAUAUGGUGAAUCUGUUGAAUUUUGACUUUGUACUUGAUCAAAUAUAUGUGAUGUGACCAAAUCAAAUAUAUCUGUGAUCAAACCGUGAAUACUUUCCAGUUUUCUAUGACAUUUCGUAAUACACUAUAGUUCGAAAAUAAUAUUGGGUUGUUAUUGUUGAUAUUGAAUCACCGGUGAAACAGGAAACACUCGCCUUGUUUACGACCCACGGCUCAUCAGUAUUAUAACUAAUAAAUGAAUGAUUUUCACAUUUCCUGACGAACUACCGGCACUAUUAAUCGGGUGACCCACCAUAAAUAAAUAUCUCCAUAUAUCUCGACAAUUACGCCACAAUAUUUAUAUAUAUUCCAAGCCCCAAAUCAGUUUCACACAAUUAUAGUCACUAAAUAAACGAUCAUGUUGUGCUUAAUAAGCUAUGACCAUUAAUCAUGUAUAAAUAAUAGACUGAAAACUGGUUCCAAGAGUCGUCCAUAACAUCCAGACACUUUUUAGUAAAAGAUAGGUUACGUGCCCUUGUUUUGAAAUUAGUCUCGCUUAACCAGUCUUUCGACCAUUCUACGUCUGAUUGACAGGUCGGGAUAAUCAAGACUACUUUUUUACGAAACAUAACAGAAAGCUAGAACAAGAAAUUGAAUUUAGAAAUAAGCACAUUAGGUAGUUCAACAAUCGUUUUAAGAAGCUUGUAAAAGUAAAAUGAAACUACUGCUAGUAUCAUGUUCCUGUCUAACCCGAGUGAUUCAGAGAUAUUAUUUGUACUAAACCAAAAGAUGCCGCUCUUAACGGUACAGUUAAUAUAUAAAGCGAUUUAAAAAAUGAAACGAACGUAAUUUCUAAAUCUGCUGUAAUAACCAAGAAGCUUAAUUUUACUGCUAUUCAAAAUCGUCAACAAUAAAUUUUUUACGGCUGUAAUAGUUGAUAGAUUUGUAGAGAAUUGCACGUGCAAGGGCUAUUUAUAGUAUCAUACUGUCAGAAAGUUUGUCUCGGCACGGCGAAUGUGCACGCUUCAGUGGUAGUCUCGAACUAUCAGCGGUGGACUGUAUCUGUGAGUAAAUGGGUCACCCUACAUUAAUAUUUAACACCUUAUAGCCGUCUACAGUAGCUAUUGUGAUUGAUAACUUUCAUAUCGACUUGUGUUGAUAUUUUUUGGUAUCAAAAAAGACUCGAAGAGGAUUCCCUAUAUAGACGUCUACUAGCUGAGGUCAAGUCAAAUGUCAAAAUUAGACACGAGGCUCUUCUGGGUGUAUACUAAGCCCCAUCGAUUUUUAAAUCUAUAUUAUAAUCUAAUAGAAAAUUUGAUCUUGUGGAUUUAUCCUACUUUGUUAAUAUUUGUUAAAUAUAUCGGCCAAUCCACCAUGAAAAUGUGUUGGUUCCACAAGACAAUCUACAAUAUAGGUCAUUAGAAAUAUUACAUUCUCUGGGAUCGAACUUGAUGACCUUACUAUGCUUGAAAAAUAUAUCUUUCAUAUUUAGCUCAUUCCAUUAUUAUAUACACUUUGACAACUAUUGGUAUACUGUAUGUAGAUAAAUUAUUGUUGGUCAAUGUAAUUUAUAUAUAUGCCUUAUUGUUGUACAAUUAUCCCGUUUUCAUUUGUCAAAUCGGUGCAAAGGAAUAAGACGCUAAACCACAUUUCAUUUCAUUUGUAAAAUUGUAAUGUAUUGUAAAGCUAAUAAAUCUAAUAUCUAGGGGAGAUAACCACAAUUUCAUAUUUUUGAUAAAUAUUUAACAGCAUUUUAUCGUUUUAUUUUUGUUUUCA